UGGGGGUGGGUUGUGGGGCUCGUUUGUGGCACUCUCCCCCUGGCCCUGAGCUGCCUCUGCGUCUGCACUUUGUACUCAGCCCCCCAAGUCGUCAAGGGGGCCAUCUGGGGUGUCUGGAGGCCAAGCUGAGACUGCUGGGUGGCGCGGGGCCCCCUCAGGAGCCCCCAGGCCUCCGGGCCCACGCACCCUUGGUGCUCACGUGCUUCGGCUCUGCAGCCCACCCGGCAGUCCCUCCACGUGUUGUACCUGCAGCCCCCUCGGCCAUUGCCGGCCACACCCAUGCUCACGGCGGGCUGACCAGUCCAGGAACCCCUGGUCGGGUGAAGGGGCUCCCACUGGCCUGGCCCUGUGAAGAUGACCGGCUCAGAGGCGGGCAGGGCCACCCAUCCAGACCUCCCUGGGGUCGGGGAUCACACACAGGUCCGUGUUCACAUCUGGCCCAUCGGCAGCACCAGGUUGGUCCUCUGGGGCGCCUUCUUUUGGGGGACGUGGGCAUUUUCCCCACCCUGUUGCCACAUCUGAGCUCCCUCCUAACUCAUCUCUGUGCCCCCCCACCGUCCCUGGCCGUCCCUGGCCGUGGCCCCUCUGAUGCUGCCCUGCCGGCCACCCUCACCUAGCCCCCAUGGCCCCGGGAGGACCCCUCCCCAGCACCUUCCAAGGUGUUCCAUGGAGCUCCGGGUGGGGCCGGCUCGGACAGCACCCCCCGGGAUAGCUCAGGGGGCUUGACCAGCACAGUGACUGGAGGACCAGGAACCUGGAAGCCCACUUGGUUUUCUCUGUGUGAGGUUUGUAUUGGUUCGUGAGGUCAGACCUGGCCCACUGCCUGUGGGCGGGUGACCCCGUGCUUUGGGCCUCGGAGCCGAGCCCUGAGACGUCUCAGCUCUUGACGUUUCGGCACUCUUCAGCAGACCCAUCCCAGGCUCCCUUCCCUCCUGCCCUGCCAGUCUCCGCUGGGGACACGGCCUCCAGCUCACCUGGGCUGUAGCAGCUGGGAGUAGGGGGCGAGUCCCCCACACUCCGUAGAAGAUGAGGUCUUUCUUGUGCUGGGGGCACUGGGAGGGAGGAGCCCACUGCCUUGGUAUAGAUGGGGUAGGGGAGCCACUCUGCAGAACAGAAGGGCUCACGGCAAGGUCCACUCCACCACUGCCCGGACGACGCUCUUCUGUGGCUGUGACCUGGGAGAGCCGCGGCUCGAUUCCCCGAGGUCCCGGCUCGUCUCUUCAUCUCAGCCUCAUUUUCCCUUCUGUGGUGGCACGGAGGAAGUGACCUGGGGCCACCUCCACCCUGGGCAGCCCUGGCUUCCCCGUGUACCUUAGGGUCCUUGUCAUCCCAAUCCGGACCACUGCUCCCAGAGGUCACCCUGACUGCAGGAGGCCCUGGGAGAUGGGGAUGUGUCGAAGCCAGAGAACAGUGAGCAAGCACUUUCACCCUCUGAUGGCCAGGUGAGCCAGCUCCUGCCAGAGCCCGGUCACUCGCCCUUGGAAGCUGUCCUGACGUGCGGUAGGGUCCUGGUGGGUGGCCAGGGGUCUGAGGAAGGGACCAGACCUGGAGUCGGUGGGGCCAAGUAGGCCACAGGCCAAGUCUGGUGGGGAGGGGAAACAGGUCACCCCAGAUGCCCUGGCUGCAGUGGCUUCAGAGCAGGCCCAGGACACCUGCCACGUGGAGGCCAGAGGCCAGUCUUGACAGACCCGGGGAGCUCCACAGAGAGCUGGUCCAAGGCCUGGUCCACGGUCAGCUCCUGGGUGAUGGUGCCUGAGGCCAUGAAGGAGGUGGCCAGCUGGGCUGGAGGGCCUAUCCGGGACCUGGGCCUGGAUGUGGGCAUUGCCCAUCAGCUUGGCUGUCAGGGAGGCACCUGUCCCACUCCAAAGCCCAGCUGGCUUCGCUCCUCCCUCCCCGUGCUCGAGCCACCGAGCCUCCGGUCCCGACAUAGCAGGUGCUCGGUCAGAAAGACGCAGUCUCCCUGGAGCACGUGGCCACGUCUGAGCAUGAGGGUCCCUGCGGGCAUGUCCUCAGCCCACACAGUGGUUCAGCUCCCUGCGGGGGAGGCAAGUUCUGCCCAUCUGCUCCUAGUGACCGCCCAGGGACCCGAACAGUGCUGGGGUGGGGGGUCAGAGAGUGCGGGUAGCCCUGCGUGCUGCUGACCCUCACCCCCAGAUGCCUUGCACGCCAGGGGGGUUCUGCAGAGGCCACUGGUGCUGUGGGGAGCCAGCACCAGGAGCAGCUGGAAGACACCGUCACGGCCCCUCACUCGGGGGUUGGGGCACAGGGGUGGGGUCACUGCCCAGGCGCCCCCUACCCGACUCAGCACCGGGGCCACCCACCCCCACCUUUUCCUACAUCUGCUGGAAGGCAUCACGGAAGACAUCCCCCCGGAGCAGGGCCAGGAUGGCACCAGCCGUGGCCAGCAGGAAGGGCAGCAGCCCCUGCAGCCCACCUGGGAAGCCACAACAUACAAGAAGCCCCCAGGCCUGGCUGACGCAGAGUGUGGUGCUGGCAGCCUCAGCCCUGGCCCUCGCGGACACCCCCGGAAUGUCCCAAGAAGACGAGUGGCCACCUAGCUGGUGGCCGUGAGCAGGUCUAUAGCUGUGAGCAGAGGUGUUUCGAGAAACCGGACUGGAGACAGCCUACUGAACUCGGGGCACGGACCCUGCCGUGCCGGGACGUGGGUCCUGCCGGGGAACCUGGCCGCCCACCCUUGGACUCAUGGAGAUGAUCAGAUUAGACGGAAGUGCGUCCACACCAGAGAUCAAACCAGGAGUGACUGUUCAUCCGACUCCUUAGCCGUGACUGGAUGCCCUCCCUGAUGAGGAACAGAUUGAGUCCUGUGAACGGGAGAAAAAAGGCCUUUUGUGCAGAAUCAGCAGCCCCACAUUUGUUUUGUUCACCCAGAGAGUGACAAGGCCAGCAAUAGCCUGGGGGCAACGCCUGACAGAGAGGAAGGACAAACGGAGGUCGUGCACGAGGAAAGAGCAAGCCAGCUGCACGCCUGAGCGCAACUUGCAAAACGCGGAGCUGAGCCGCGCUGGGAGGAGACCGGAAAGGAAGGCUCAUCCAGGUACUCACUGAGCCUCCGGCACUUCUAGGCUUCGGCUGUCCCUCUGCUUGUUUGACGCCUGCCUGCUAACUGCCAAUUGUUUGUGGAUCAGGAAUCCUUCAUUCUGGUGAAGUCAGACUCACCCACAUUCAGCAGGUAGUUUCUGUUUGGAUCUUGGCAUCUUUCGCAACUCCUCAGUCCAGGCCCUUCUAUGUGCCUAGAGUGUUCUCUGCCGUACGCAGGUCUUACUGAAUUUGGCACCCAGCUUGUCCGCCAUGCGGGCAAGGGGCCUCAUUUCCCUGCCCCACCUGUCCCACGGACUGUCCCUUUCCCCGCCAUUGCUGGUAGCAGUCCCUGCGUGCACACGGGGGCAUUUUGCGUCGUCUCGUGCCUGCCCCCGCUGUCUGUUCCUAACUUCAUUACGUGCGCCUUUGUCUUAGUAUCCAGGAACUUGUCUCUUCUUACGUCACGGAUAUUUUUUCUCUUUAUUUUUAAAAUAAAAUCGUUACAUUCCUGAAAAAAAAAA